UUUCCGUAGGUGAACCUGCGGAAGGAUCAUUAAAGAGAAUAUGCCCUUCGGGGUAGAUCUCCCACCCUUUGUUUAUAUUACCUUUGUUGCUUUGGCAGGCCCGUCUUCGGGCCACCGGCUUCGGCUGGUCAGUGCUUGCCAGAGAACCCAAAACUCUUAUUAUUAAUGUCGUCUGAGUACUAUAUAAUAGUUAAAACUUUCAACAACGGAUCUCUUGGUUCUG
rnacentral:misc_RNA from 1 species